GGGUUGUGAGGUUAAGCGACUAAGCGUACACGGUGGAUGCCCUGGCAGUCAGAGGCGAUGAAGGGCGUGCUAAUCUGCGAUAAGCGCCGGUAAGGUGAUAUGAACCGUUAUAACCGGCGAUACCCGAAUGGGGAAACCCAGUGUGAUUCGUCACACUAUCAUUAACUGAAUCCAUAGGUUAAUGAGGCGAACCGGGGGAACUGAAACAUCUAAGUACCCCGAGGAAAAGAAAUCAACCGAGAUUCCCCCAGUAGCGGCGAGCGAACGGGGAGGAGCCCAGAGCCUGAAUCAGCAUGUGUGUUAGUGGAAGCGUCUGGAAAGGCGCGCGAUACAGGGUGACAGCCCCGUACACAAAAGCGCAUGUGCUGUGAGCUCGAUGAGUAGGGCGGGACACGUGGUAUCCUGUCUGAAUAUGGGGGGACCAUCCUCCAAGGCUAAAUACUCCUGACUGACCGAUAGUGAACCAGUACCGUGAGGGAAAGGCGAAAAGAACCCCGGCGAGGGGAGUGAAAAAGAACCUGAAACCGUGUACGUACAAGCAGUGGGAGCCCCACCACUAAGCCAGUGGUGAACUCCACAUACGCAUCCUUUGCUGAGGAUACGGUUAACGGAGCGAAAGCGACGUUCAACCGCAAAAGAAGCAGAGGGGGCUUAGUGGUGGGGUGACUGCGUACCUUUUGUAUAAUGGGUCAGCGACUUAUAUUCUGUAGCAAGGUUAACCGAAUAGGGGAGCCGGAGGGAAACCGAGUCUUAAUUGGGCGUUAAGUUGCAGGGUAUAGACCCGAAACCCGGUGAUCUAGCCAUGGGCAGGUUGAAGGUUGGGUAACACUAACUGGAGGACCGAACCGACUAAUGUUGAAAAAUUAGCGGAUGACCUGUGGCUGGGGGUGAAAGGCCAAUCAAACCGGGAGAUAGCUGGUUCUCCCCGAAAGCU
rnacentral:rRNA from 1 species